rnacentral:rRNA from 2 species
UCACUUUCAACAACGGAUCUCUUGGCUCUCGCAUCGAUGAAGAACGCAGCGAAAUGCGAUAAGUAGUGUGAAUUGCAGAAAUUGUGAAUCAUCGAAUCUUUGAACGCAAAUUGCACUCUCUGGUAUUCCGGGGAGUAUGCCUGUUUGAGGGUCGUUAG